rnacentral:pre_miRNA from 1 species
GAUUUGAGCUGUGCGUAAUUUUGAGCGCAAUCUUGAGCAUUUUAUGAUUCAGUUUUUCGGAUUUUUAAGGCUCAAGAUUGCGCUCAAAAUUACGCACAGCUCAAUUA